rnacentral:rRNA from 1 species
CCUACGGGGGGCUGCAGUGAGGAAUAUUGGUCAAUGGACGAGAGUCUGAACCAGCCAAGCAGCGUGAAGGAUGACUGCCCUAUGUGUUGUAAACUUCUUUUAUAUGGGAAUAAAAUGUUCCACGUGUGGCAUUUUGUAUGUACCAUAUGAAUAAGUAUCGGCUAACUCCGUGCCAGCAGCCUCGGUAAUACGGAGGAUCCGAGCGUUAUCCGGAUUUAUUGGGUUUAAAGGGAGCGUAGGUGGAUUGUUAAGUCAGUUGUGAAAGUUUGCGGCUCAACCGGAAAAUUGCAGUUGAAACUGGCAGUCUUGAGUACAGGAGAGGUGGGCGGAAUUCGUGGUGUAGCGGUGAAAUGCUUAGAUAUCACGAAGAACUCCGAUUGCGAAGGCAGCUCACUGGACUGCAACUGACACUGAGGCUCGAAAGUGUGGGUAUCAAACAGGAUUAGAUACCCCUGUAGUC